ACCGGAGCGGAAGCGCCGUGUGAGGCUGACCGGGACUGCGGUGAGGGCGGGGCCCGAGGCCGGGACGGGGCGUGGCUGGGAGCCGACCGAGGGGGCCCGAGCGGUAGCGCCUUGUGGCGCUGACCGGGCUGCGGGAGGGGCUCGGGCGAAGGCGCUGACUGUCCCGCCACCGCUCUUGGCAAGUGUGGGACACAUUUGUGUAGAUGAAUGGAGCACAGCAUACCAUUGCGUAUCCUUCACUUACUGGUUGACACGUACACCUUGCCGUCAUAAGUCUGACACCCGAAAUGCUGAUACCAGCCAAUCAACACCAGUUUGCAAACCAAGUACGGGAUGACCCUGCCCAGCGUCGGUAUGGAAGAUCCUGCUCAUGGAAUACUUCGAUCUCAACUCUGAACAGGGGUUACAGGCCCCUGUGUAAAGGAACAAGGCUGUUAUGGAGGGAGCCCAGAGAGCAGAUUCAGUCAGAGAGGGUAUAGUUGUGCUUGGAAGGGAAACCAGGUCCUAUGAGCAGAUCUCAGAUCUUUCAGAGUCUCCAGAAUGGGACCAGCAGUGAGAUGCAUUUCAUCUGGUAACUACAUCCUCAACAUGCACACAUAUCUGUAUACCUACCCUCCAUUGUGAUACUGUAUUGUCUUCCAGUAGGUAACUUGUUUUCAACUCUUGUUAUAAUCCACCAAAUAGAUUCCAUCACCUAAACGUGGAAUGGAAACCACUGAUUUGUGAAUUUCCCGUGCAGGAUCCUAGAUAAUUCCUGCCAUACCCAAUUAUCUUGGGCCAUGCAGGAUGGAAUCUGAGACAUCAAGAAAUUUGGACCCAAUAUGGACCAGGUUCCACAGUUUCUUCCAUUUUAUCAUACAGGGAGAGGGUGAGGAAAAGUCCACAUUUGGAAUUAUUCCAGGAAAGUAUAGUCAGCUUCCAUAGCAUCAGUGGGCAUGAGGCUGCAAAGAAGAUGCUCUGGGAUGAUAGUGUGUGGAGAGCCCACCUCACUACCAUCAGCUCUAGAGGAUGGAGGUGGUGUCCAGCAGUAGAGAGAGUAUCCCGGACACAGAUGUAGCAUUGCAUCGAUCUCCAUAACCUAAGGUCAGUUAGACACCUUUUCCCGGAAUCCCCACCAUCAUCGCUAUUCCCCAGAAGGUUCAGCCAGUGUUCCUGAAGGACUCUCCCAUUUCCCAGCUACCCCAGGAAUUCCCAUUGUCUGAUAUCCUGCUUACACCCUGACAAGAGGAAUGGCAAAACCUGCCAUCCUUCUCCAAACCUGGCCCACACCACCGCCAUGCACAUGGAGGGGAGAGGCACAUCGCCUCCACACUGCAGGGCUGAGGGAAUUUGAGGCCGCCACAGAGUUUGGGUG
ensembl:lncRNA